GAUGAAGAACGUAGCGAAAUGCGAUACGUAAUGUGAAUUGCAGAAUUCAGUGAAUCAUCGAAUCUUUGAACGCAUAUUGCGCUCUCUGGUAUUCCGGAGAGCAUGCUUGUUUGAGUAUCAGUAAACACCUCAACUUCCAUAUCUUUUUUUGAAAUGGGAGUUGGACUUGAGUGAUCCCAACGCUUUUCCUCACCGAAAAGUGGCGGGUUACUUGAAAUGCAGGUGCAGCUGGACUUUUCUCUGAGCUAUAAGCAUAUCUAUUUAGUCUGCCUAAAAAACAGAUUAUUACCUUUGCUGCAGCUAACAUAAAGGAGACUAGUUCUUAUGCUGACUGAUGCAGGAUUCACAGAGACAGCUUCGGCUGACUUUGUAAACUCGAUCUCAAAUCAAGUAAGACUACCCGCUGAACUUAAGCAUAUCAAUAAGCGGAGGA
rnacentral:misc_RNA from 1 species